rnacentral:antisense_RNA from 1 species
GAUGAAGUCACAAACCAGAGGGAGGAGGCCAGGCCUGCAGGGGCUGUUUCGGACGGCUGGCCAAGCGGGCAGCUGCAACCUGGGCAUGUAUGUCUGUGUGGCAGGGGGACUUCUGGACUAGGGGCUCGGCACCGACCCAGGAAGGGGAGCUGUGGGUGGGGACAUCUGGCCCUAGUCUCAGAGCGACAUCCCUCGAAAUGCCAUCUGGCCCCGGAAGGUGCAAGGGAGGCAGGCUGAGUCUGCUCAUGCUACCGCGGGCCGCCCAGGAAGGAAGCAGGCUGCCCGCCAGGCUGGCAUGCGCCUCUUGCAGUGGAGGGUUUGCUCUUCAGGAAUGGUCAGAGACCCUCUAGGCUCCCUCGGCCGCACGCUAGGGGCGAGCACAGGAAGCCACAGGAGUCCUCCAAGCCAGAUGAGCCCGCCCUGCAGCACUGCCAGCACUUGGGACGCCAGACUCCCUUCAGGCAGCGGGCCCUGAGGGCACUGCGACAGCUCAGCACCCACCAUGGAUCAGCAACAGGACAACCGCGGCGCGGAGACACAGACGGGAAGUGUGUGGGGUCCUGGGAUAGGCCCAACUCAAAGAUUUCCCCUCCCUGGGGCUAAGGUCUCAGCCGUGAGGGGCUCUGGGGAGGGGAGGUCAGAGUGGCCUGGAGAGCUCUCCCCAAGGAGGGCCUCAGUCCAGGUCCAGCACAGGAGGGCCGUGGGAUCCGUGGGAUCUGUAGGGGAAUCACCAGGGCUGGCCCUAAGGCUCUCUGGCCAGCGCCAGGGAGGCAGGGGCUCCAAACCAGCAGGCUGCUCAGGGUGGUCCUCGGACAGCAGCCAUGCCCUCCCAGGGAGCUUGCCAGACACACAGACCUUUCCCAGCCUCCAGACCAGAACCUGCAUUUUUUAGGAGCUUUCUGGGGGACCCUCACCUGUGACCUGCCUCCAGGGACACUUUCUCGCUCUACAGACACCACUGAUGUGAAGAUGCAAGAGACAGGACAACCCCCCAUGAAGAGUCCUGUCCACCCACCACUGAGGCCUGGCCCGACUUUCUACAAGACUCUGCUGAGGGGGAAGUGCCCCUCGGAGUAAAGGAAAUACAGCCCCACUCCUGGGAAGACAGUGCUCUUUUCCAUCAGAGGCCACGCCCCCCACUCACGCCAGGCAGAAAGCCACACCUGCAGGAGCCUGCUCCCCACCCAAUGCCAGGGGCGGAAAUGUGGACAGAGGGCGACUUCUCCGCCAGCCUGGCGGGGGCCUGCAGCAAGCUCGCCGAUGCCCUCUGCGCCUGCUGGGCCCGCAGCCCCUCCUCUGGGGAGGCUCUGGGACUGGAGCAACUGGGACUCUCCUGGCUGCUGACCCCGGAGCCAGGCUCUCUGCUUUUCUCGCACUACCUCGCCACGUCUGCACAGGGGCCUGACAAGCACUACUGUCUCCGGGCUACAGAGGACACCGGGGCUCAGAGCUGGACAACUGGCCCAAGCCCAGGCCGCACAUCGCGCAGCAGACAGUCUGCCGCACUCUGCGGGAGGUCACCCUGGGGCUGCUGUCCCUGCUCUGGCCCCCGCCCCAGCACCGCGGGCAAUCUAACAGGAAGGGGCAGGGGCCAGUUCUCUCUGGGACUCGGGCAGCGUCAAAGAUAAGGUGUCUUCAAAAAGCUCAUGGAAAACGUGUGUUGUGACGAAACUUGCAUGGCUUUCAAGUUUUCUGCCCCGAAAUAAACUGAUACUAACUUGUCA